AUGAUGCAAGAACUUGUUAAGCAACACCUACUUCGAGCUCAGCACCGUAUGAAGCAACAAGAAGAUAAACAUCGUUCUGAUCGGGUGUUUCAGGUGGGAGAUUUUGUUUAUCUCAAGCUUCAACCAUAUGCACAAAUGUCUGUUGCUCGUCGUGCAAAUCACAAGUUGUCCUUCAAAUUUUAUGGUCCCUAUGAGGUGCUCGCUCGCGUGGGAAAGUCAGCCUACAAAUUGAAGCUUCCAACAAAUAGUCGUAUUCAUCCGGUGGUGCACGUCUCCCAGCCGAAGCCCUCUCUACCGGCAAAUCAGGUGCCUUCUGAUGCUUCUUUGCAUCUGCUUACGGAUGUUCCAGUUUCUAUUCAGCCGGGGCAGAUUCUUGAUUCUCGUUUGGUGCGAGCUGGUAAUGGCGCUCGUGCACAAGUGCUCGUUCAUUGGGCUGGCCUCUCAUCUAAUCUGAACUCCUGGGAAGACAAGAAUGCACUCCAGCACCGGUUUCCUUCUACAGCAGCAUGGGGGCAUGCUGUGUCUCAAGGAGGAGGGCAUGCUACGCACCUGCCAUGGGGGCCAGCCAAGACCAAGGCCUCUCCUAGAAGCUGA
rnacentral:rRNA from 1 species